GGCUAUAGCUCAGUGGUAGAGUGCUUGCCUCACAAGUGUGAGGCACUGGGUUAAAUUCUCAAUACCA
rnacentral:tRNA from 1 species